GAAUAAAUGCUCAGUCAUGUGAGGAGACAAAAUGAACUUGGAUUGGAUCAACAAUAGUAGAAUGACAUCAUCUCUAAAUCAAAGACAACAGUGUUGCAGAUCCUCUGUGAAGGAGGAGGCCUGUCUGAUGGGGCCAUCCAUCCACCUGUGGUUGUUUUCCAACCAGUAGAUCCAGAGAUAUGGGUGUAGACGACAUCGGAGGUGAUGGACUUAUGAGGAAGAGCAGGACCAGACCCCAGAUCCCAGAUCCCAGAUCCCAGACCCCAGACCACACCCUCCCACAAAAAGUCAAAAUGACCCCUCUGGAACCUGAAACUGUAACUGCAAUAAAGCGCAUAAACUUCAUCUUUUUCUUCUGUUUUUGUAAAAGAACUGAUAUGAAGGUUUGGUUGGUUUUAUAGAACAUGUAGUUUCACAGGUGGAUUGUACCUCACUGAUCUAGUGGUUCGUAGUGGAAGAUGGUGUUUAACCCUCAGGGGUCUGUCAAAACUCCUGAUUUGGCCUUUAUAUAGCAUAAAAAAUGUUAACCAUACCCAUGUUUGGAAUAGUUUUUCAGCACUAUUUCACUGUAUGAUCUGAUGAUUCUUUUACAUUUUAUCUUAUUUAACAUAUUGGACCCAAAAUUACACAAUAAUAAUUGAAUAUAAUUUGAAAAAAAUAUAGUAUUUAUUACAAUGAAAUCCACAAUCAUGGUCAAUGCUCUGUUUUGGAAGUUGAAAGAGUAAAGCAGGUUUCUAUAUUAACCUAUAAAGGUGUCUAUUUAUCUAUUCAUCAUAUCUCCAGGUUUACAAGGUCGAUUAAUCUCAAA